rnacentral:tRNA from 1 species
GCGGGUGUAGCUCAGUUGGUAGAGCUCCAGCCUUCCAAGCUGGGCUUGUCGAGAUUCGAGUCGACUGGCGACGCCCGCU